rnacentral:rRNA from 1 species
AUGUAUAGGUUGCGUCUUGACGGUGCGCCACCAGACAGAACCCCGCGUGCAUCAAGGAUGAGUGCUCUAGAGACGUCGUUUCACAAGUUUGCCGAGGAACCAACGAAAGGAUUAAAUUUUGAUUCACUUGGUGAGGCGUAUAACUUCUACAAUUUGUACUCAAGGGAGAUCGGCUUCGGGAUAAGAUAUGGGAAAAGCAUGUUGAAUGCAGAGAUGACGAAAUCAAUGCAGAAGAUUGUUUGCGGCUGCUCGGUAAGAUGUUCAAGCAGCUUUGUUGCAGUAUAUGGAAGUGUUGGGAGUAGUCUAGGAAACAUUCUUGCAGAUUGGUUGGGUUUCGAGGACUGUCAGGGAAACAUUCUUGCAGGGGGGCUGCCUGGGAAUGGUGAAGUUACAAUACUAGCAAACGGUGGUGCUGACUGCGAAAUGGGCCCAACUCAGUCGGUCAGUGUGAAUGCCCUAGUAGGAUUAGCUUCACCAGAUAAGCAAAGAGGGGCUGGCAGGCCAACCGCCAACGAAUAG